rnacentral:rRNA from 1 species
GAUGAACGCUGGCGGCGUGCCUAAUACAUGCAAGUCGAACGAAAAGACGAGGAGAUUGUUCUUCUGCCGUUAGCGGCGGACGGGUGAGUGACGAGUGGAUCAUCUACCUAUUUGACUGGGAUCACUUCGGAACACCGGAGAUAAUACCAGAUAAUAUAUUGAACCGCAUGGUUCAAUAGUUAAUGACGGUUUUGCUGUCACUUAUAGAUGAAUCCGCGCCGCAUUAGCUAGUUGGUAAGGUCACGGCUUACCAAGGCAACGAUGCGUAGCCGACCUGAGAGGGUGAUCGGCCACACUGGAACUGAGACACGGUCCAGACUCCUACGGGAGGCAGCAGUAGGGAAUCUUCCGCAAUGGGCGAAAGCUUGACGGAGCAACGCCGCGUGAGUGAUGAAGGUCUUCGGAUCGUAAAACCCUGUUAUUAGGGAAGAACAAAUGUGUAAGUAACUAGGCACGUCGUGACGGUACCUAAACAAAAAGCCACGGCUAACUACGUG